ensembl:lncRNA
AUGUCAUUUAUGUCAUAAAUAAUGAAUAGUAGCUACAACUUCCUUCGUCCUUAUUAUGUUCUAAACUCUAUGUUAAGGCAAGUAAUUUACAAAAUCUCUGUUGCGGGGAGAGGUACUUUUAUCACUUCCAUCUCACAGAUGAGAAAUCUGAGACUUAGAAAGACUAAGGGAUUGGCCUGACAUCACAAUGCCAGGUGAAUGGCAUCUGACUCCACAGUCCAGGCUGUUAACCCACCACGUGAUCCUACCUCCUUGGCAGUGAAGGAUAAUCAGAGUAUUUACGAAUCAGAGUUUUACUUAUGCUCCCAUCACAGAGAAAAAUCAUCAGUUAAUAUAAGGAAGAGUUCAUGCCUUGAUUAAAGUUGGCAGGUAAAAUGCAUUUAUUUUAGAACUCAUUCCUUAAGGUUCAAGACAGCAAGAGCGAAACUGAAAAAUAAAUCUGUGCUAAAUAUGUUUAUAGAAAAACACCCUCCCUAGCUAACAUGGGUACCAUCUCAUCUCAGCGUGAUGGUCAGAUUAUCGCCUAACUUCAAAGUGUUACCAAAAUGAGAGAGUAUCAGCUCACGGAGGAGGAGAAGAUGGAGUUUGGCCAGGAAGUAGACAGGCAGGGAGGGGUGUGAAGAUGGGGAGGCAGUCUCUGCAGCAGCUUGUGGGUGACUAUUUACAUAAAGCAUGAGCUUCAAUUUGCUAGGGAUUCAUUGCUCAAGCUAGCGAUUGUGCAGUGAGUUCCCUUGUUCACUCUCCCAGAUGUGAGGGUUGUUUUGUAGUCACAUAUAAUGGAAUCAGCACUGGCUAACAGGCUGGAAACCAACCUGUCAUCUCAGUCUCUCCAAUCACCAGCUGUGGGACCCUGGACAAGUCAUUUAACCUCAAUGGACCUCAAUUUUCUCAUCUGGAAAAAUAAGACAAGUGGCAUAGACUAUCCCUUCCAGAAAUUCUGUGAAUCAAGGAGAAUCUACAGCUGUUGCCAUUCACUAAGUUCAAAUUCCUGUGACCCCCGGGAGAGAAGGCUGCGGGCAGAUUAUUAGAGCAUUUGAGUGUGUGGGUUUGCCUGGAAGCGACAGCUAGCAAAGGUUGAAGAUGAGAAUAAUAAUAAUAAAGCACGCUUGGCUUGUAGAGCUCUGAGCAGAACAGCAUUACUCUCAACCAGAUUUUAUUUCUUGCUAAUUUUAUCUGAUUCCACUUGAUUAUAGAGUUCAUUGAAUUUAAAAUGUUGGGGCUGGGGGUCACUGCUCCAUGCUACCCUUCAGAAACGUCAACAAAAAGAGCACCCCAGAAACCCUUGACUGCCACCCGUGCAAAUACAUUACCCUUCAUCGUGACAGAUUUGCUCCAGUAAUUACAAUCACCUUUUCUUCAGUCUAUGUCUGGGAGCAUUUCUAGAACACUUAAUGCCAUACUACCCAAGGAAAAGCCCUUUCUGGUGUAAUGGAGGCAAUGUAAAAUAUGUGCUUUCAUGUCAAGUAAAAAUUUAUGACAUUCACACAAAGAGGGGUAUUUGUUUCCUAUGUGUCUGCAUCUCUGCUUUCUGUUGUUAUUGAUGAACGGGAAAAG